UUUCCGUAGGUGAACCUGCGAAAGGAUCAUUACCGAAUUGUCAAACGGGUUGUUGCUGGUCUUCAAACGGGGACAUGUGCACGCUCUGUUUACACAUCCACUCACACCUGUGCACCCUCCGUAGUUCUAUGGUCUGGGGGACCCUGUCUUCCUGCCGUGGUUCUACGUCUUUACACACACUCUGUAAUAAAGUCUUAUGGAAUGUAUGCCGCGUCUAACGCAAUACAAUACAACUUUCAGCAACGGAUCUCUUGGCUCUC
rnacentral:misc_RNA from 1 species